GAGUACAUGCAGCAACAGCUCCUAGAUUUGGGAGCUACUGAGGCCCCUGUGUCCUGCAGGAAGGCUGACUGUUACCCAGGUGUGGAUUUCCCUCUCCUAUAAAAGAUCUGCUGGUUGCUAGAAGACACGACGCUUUAUGUGCAGGAGAGCAGACACCGUGUCGCCAUUGCGCUGAAGUUUCUGGUGUCCUUUCCAGUUGGCCAGAAAGAAAGAAAGAAGAAGAAAAACCCCACAUCCUCUUGUAGGACCAGAUCCAUCCUUUGGAU